UACGUAGGGCGCAAGCGUUGUCCGGAAUCAUUGGGCGUAAAGCGCGCGUAGGCGGCUCGGUAAGUCCGCUCUGAAAGCCCGGGGCUCAACCCCGGGAGGCGGGUGGAUACUGCUGAGCUCGAGUCCGGAAGAGGAGUGUGGAAUUCCUGGUGUAGCGGUGAAAUGCGCAGAUAUCAGGAGGAACACCAAUGGCGAAGGCAGCACUCUGGGACGGUACUGACGCUGAGACGCGAAAGCGUGGGGAGCAAACAGG
rnacentral:rRNA from 1 species